GAGUUUGAUCGUGGCUCAGGACGAACGCUGGCGGCGUGCUUAACACAUGCAAGUCGAGCGGAAAGGCCCUUCGGGGUACUCGAGCGGCGAACGGGUGAGUAACACGUGAGCAACCUGCCCUAGGCUUUGGGAUAACCCCGGGAAACCGGGGCUAAUACCGAAUAGGACCCUUGGACGCAUGUCCGGGGGUGGAAAGUUUUUCGGCCUGGGAUGGGCUCGCGGCCUAUCAGCUUGUUGGUGGGGUGAUGGCCUACCAAGGCGACGACGGGUAGCCGGCCUGAGAGGGCGACCGGCCACACUGGGACUGAGACACGGCCCAGACUCCUACGGGAGGCAGCAGUGGGGAAUAUUGCACAAUGGGCGGAAGCCUGAUGCAGCGACGCCGCGUGAGGGAUGACGGCCUCGGUUGUAA
rnacentral:rRNA from 1 species